rnacentral:misc_RNA from 1 species
GAAAUGCGAUAAGUAAUGUGAAUUGCAGAAUUCCGUGAAUCAUCGAAUCUUUGAACGCACAUUGCGCCCUCUGGUAUUCCGGGGGGCAUGCCUGUCCGAGCGUCAUUGCGAACCCCUCAAGCACGGCUUGUGUGAUGGGCCCUCCCGCGUCUUGGUCGUCAAGACGGGCCCGAAAUGCAGUGGCGGCUUCGCGGUUAUCCGAUCAGCCAGAGCGUAUGGGGACUCUCUCUCUGUCACACGCCCGCGGCGCGGACCGACGCCUGUCGACCUUUCUUCAUCUUUUCUCGGUUGACCUCGGAUCUGGUAGGGAUACCCGCUGAACUUAAGC